rnacentral:lncRNA from 1 species
UUGACCCUGGUUCUCCCUCUCAUUUCCCUGUUCCCUAACAUAGUUUCCUUCAUAUUUUGAGGACAAACAAUACACAGUUAAGGCCUUCAAGUUCAGGCGAGCCUAGCAGCUCUGAAAAAAUGGAACACUAAUUUGAACUUAAGUUGCUGAGAGAUUUAGGGUUUUUUUGUUUUGUUUUGAUGUGUUUGAAAUGACCUUUCUCUUUUGAGAAGGGGUGUACACAGAGAGACAGCAGUCAGACCCAGGGUGUCUGUCAAGGUGGACGGCAUCACAAGUAACCGACAGCGGUCACCCCAGGGAUGAAUAUGGAUAUCUGUGGAUGUACAGCUAUAGGCUUCUGCACCCUAAGCACUGCAGUUAGCCAAGAACAUCAUGCUUUACAGAUCUGAGCACCUUGGGCAGAAAUUCUCCUUUAUGUGCCAGAAGUCAUGAAACCAAAGGCAGAAAUCAGCAAGAGGAGACCAGGCACCUCAGGCUGUUUGCCGCGUUAAUCUUCAGAACCCAUUAAGGUGCGCAUGGGAAAAGGCCUGAUCACUGUGCGGGGUUGGCUGCAACACUGUCCUUUUGGGCACUGCUUGGCUUCCAGACCCUUGUGCAGAUGUUAUCCAGCAAGUGCUGAAGGUCUGGUGGCCUGGGGGUCCUGCUGUCCCCUCUUGCAGCCACGGUGUUGGUGGAAUUUGCUCUGGGCUUCGUAAAACCCUCCUGGGGGUUAUACAGAUCUUACCUGUAUGUGUUGUCUCCUCUCUCCCCUCCUGUUUCAGACCCAGGAGUAUGUUUACAAGACUUUCAAGUUUCCCAGCCCUGUGAGAAGGAUUGGGAAACACAUGGGCCCAGCACGUUCAGCCCUAAACCACGCACCCCGAGGUGCUGAGUUGUCUUACCGUAGAAGCCUGAGAGGCAUUCUGCCAUUAAAAAAAUGUUCAGAAAGAGGAAAAAUAUGGGAAAAAGGAAAAAGUGAGGAAGAGAAGAUGGGAAUGAGAAAGGAAGGAAGAAAGGAAGGAAUCACAGAAUCACAGAAUGGCCUGGGUUGAAAGGGACCUCAAGGAUCAUGAAUCUCCAAACCCCCUGCCGGGCAGGGCCACCAACCUCCCUAUUUACUAGAUCAGGUUGCCCAGGGCCUCAUCCAACCCGGCCUUGAACACCUCCAGGGACGGGGCAUCCACAACCUCUCUGGGCAGCCCAUUCCAGCACCUCACCACUCUCCUGGUAAAGAACUUCCCCCUAACAUCCAACCUAAAUCUUCCCUCUUUCAACUUAAAACCGUUCCCCCUUGUCCUGCUGUUGAAGGAAAGGAGGAAGGAACAGAAGAACACAUAUGGACAAAAUUCAUGUCUCAUAUGCUGAAAACUAUUUGGCUCAUACUGUCAUUUUCAAACAAGAACUCUUAAAUUUUAUUGUACAUAACGAUGUCUUCCUGCAAAGCUCCAAAAGUAAUUGCUAGGCAUCACAGGUAUCAUUUACAAAGCAUGUGCAAUGAUCUGCAACAUCUACUUAGUCUGCAGCAUUCAAAAGUCAAACUCCUUGUUAAGUUGGAUGCUGAAUUGAAGGUCCCAUGAUUGCAAUUUAAUCUCUCUUCGUUGAUAGUCUACUUUGCUUCCCAUAAGUGAACUGGUCUCCAACUUCUACAUUGAAAGGCUAACAGAAACUUGUUCAAAUUUUGUUUGUUUCUCUGAAAGAUAAGUACUGUUUCUAGUAGGAUUUGUGCACCUGAGCACUGGAUACAAUCCAGGUUUGGAAAUCUAUGUUUAAUGGGGUCUUUUUAGAUUUAGAUUUUUUUCAUUUGGAAUCAGAACUAUAGAAGAUGUUCUGCAAAACAUUUCAAAAUCAUUGUUUGUACUCUGAAAAAUAUGCAAUUUUACUUCCUUUAUUUCAGUAUUCUUUGGUUAUAUUUACUCAGUUCAUGAAGUCAUAGCAUGGCAUAUCAUAAUUUCUGUUAAUUUAAAGAUAAAUGAGAUCUGUACUCACACUGAUUUUAUUUGCACAUCUUUUCUAGAUUAGAAUCUCCUGUUUAUCCUAUAGUGAAGUGGCUUACAAAAAAUCCAGUAUCAUUUAGAGAUGAAGGCAAAUAGUAUACAAAUUAGGACCAUAUUUUCAGUAUCAUUUUG